rnacentral:rRNA from 1 species
UACGGAGGGUGCAAGCGUUAAUCGGAAUUACUGGGCGUAAAGCGCACGCAGGUGGCUGAGUCAGUCGAUUGUGAAAGCCCUGGGCUUAACCUGGGAAUUGCAGUCGAUACUACUCAGCUAGAGUAUGGGAGAGGGCAGUGGAAUUCCCGGUGUAGCGGUGAAAUGCGUAGAUCUCGGGAGGAACAUCAGUGGCGAAGGCGGCUGCCUGGCCCAAUACUGACACUGAGAGACGAAAGCUAGGGGAGCGAAUGGG